ACGGAAGGCAGCAGUGGGGAAUAUUGGGCAAUGGGGGAAACCCUGACCCAGCAACGCCGCGUGAAGGAAGAAGGCCUUCGGGUUGUAAACUUCUUUUACCAGGGACGAUAAUGACGGUACCUGGAGAAAAAGCAACGGCUAACUACGUGCCAGCAGCCGCGGUAAUACGUAGGUUGCAAGCGUUGUCCGGAUUUACUGGGUGUAAAGGGCGUGUAGGCGGAGCUGCAAGUCAGAUGUGAAAUCCCGGGGCUCAACCCCGGAACUGCAUUUGAAACUGUAGCCCUUGAGUAUCGGAGAGGCAAGCGGAAUUCCUAGUGUAGCGGUGAAAUGCGUAGAUAUUAGGAGGAACACCAGUGGCGAAGGCGGCUUGCCGGACGACAACUGACGCUGAGGCGCGAAAGCGUGGGGAGCAAACAGGAUUAGAUACCCUGGUA
rnacentral:rRNA from 1 species